rnacentral:lncRNA from 1 species
UUUUUUUUUUUUUUUUUUUUUUGCAGAGAAUGCCGGGAAGAAACCUCUUUUUCCAGGAGGACUGCUGGGGGUCUGGGUAGGGAGAGUUUGGUUCCUGAGUGGGAGUCGCGACCUCCAGCUGCCCCCAGACCUGAGAAAAGGAGGCACAACUGCAGCUCGGAACCCAAGACACACCUUUAAAAUACACUGCCAAAAUUAAUGACCUCAUAUUGUAGGACAAAGGAACUAAACAAAACAAAACAAAAGAAAACCCACAAGAUUUGGGGGCCGGUUUACUUCAACUAGCACUUAGUGACACGUAGAGGAGAGGUGCUUUGACUGCUGCUUGGAAUUCCCCCACUUAUUUGUAAUGUUUGAAGUGAGAAUGGUUUGAAGUGCAGAAUGGUAUCUACCAGAACUGAGGAUUCCGUGAGGACUAAACUUUCUGUCAAUAUUUUCCCAAUCUUGACUGCCACAACGACUCCCAGGAUGUCUCAUGCCUCAGACUCAAAAUGGAGCCCUGCCUGGCACCCAAGUUAGAAAUUGAGCAGGUACUCAGCGUCCUCAAGAGAAGGGACUAUCAAGAGUCUAACACCACUAGCCCUGGUUUUUGACUCUCUCACCUGCAGCAAGCUAGGGCCAAGAGCUGCUUGCUUAGGCUGCAGCAGUUCAUCGGCUAGCCACCCCACCCCUACUGCUAAGGCUCCUGACCUUGUAGAUGAUGGAAUUCCCAGGAAAGUGUCAUCGGAAUAUUCACACCCUGAAGAAUGGAGAUAGAACAGAGAGAAAUUCAUGGACAGAAAUUGGUGUCUUGGUUGUUUGUAGAUAAAGAAAAUCCCGAAGGUUUCCAUAGUUUAAACUCAGAAAAAACAAUCUGUCUGUGCCCAAUAGAUGUGUGUGGAAGUGGGGUGAAGCUGACUUAAAUAUCUGUCCUGACAGAUCCCUGAACUACUGAGCUGAAGAUUUCUAUGACUAAUGAACUUUGCUUUGUGCUUUACAAUUUUCAUGGAACUAUCAGAAACUAUACCCACUUAAAUACUUGACCAGUUUUGUACUUCACAAAUUGUGGUAUAUCCAAAGCACUCAUUUGCUUCACCUCAGCUUUUGUGGCACUCCAUUUAGACAAUUCCAGAGACCCCAAAAGUUUGCACAAGACAAAUCAUGUUCCCACUCCCAACCCACCAUCUCUCUCUUAAUUCUCACUUGUUUGUGGCUUUCUAUGUUGGGCAGUAUCAAUGGAAAGGAACUUGGGCAUUGGGUGGCUAACAUUCCUGCCCACCAGAGCUGGGGUCCCGGCGUUAAUUGUCCCAAUAAAUUGAGAUAUACUGUGCAUAAUGCAAUGGAGCAAUAUGGUUAUAGUCCACAUGUAUGACUUAAUUAAGCUAUUUGCAACUUGAUGUUGCAAGUCAACGGGUGUGCAAAUGGAUUAACAAUUGUUGGCUUCCUUAUCCUCAGAAUGGUGCAUAAUUACUUUACUAGUGGUACAUAUCAAUUUUUGAUGAUUGUGGAAGCCAUGUCCCCUGC